GUUUUUUUUUUUUUUUUGGUUAAUAAUAAAAGACGGCACAUGGUGGAGAAGAAGAUGUGCAAACAUAGUUUUAAGUUGGUGUUUAGCUUCUCAUGUUGGGGAUGAAAAUGAAAACUUACUUUUGCCUUUAUUCUGUUGUGGUGUUUGUUUUAGACUUUAGAGAGUUUGGUGAGCUCUGACCUCUCUGUGUUUUGCAUUUUGUAGUCCUGUAAAGAUUACUAAUUAGAAUGUUUAGAUUACUCGUCAAAUGACUGAUUCUAAAUAUUAAAUAAAGAAUUGUUGCACCG
rnacentral:misc_RNA from 1 species